UACGUAGGGAGCGAGCGUUGUCCGGAUUCAUUGGGCGUAAAGAGCGUGUAGGCGGCCUGAAAGGUCAGCUGUGAAAACUCGAGGCUCAACCUCGAGACGUCGGUUGAAACCGUCUGGCUAGAGUCCGGAAGAGGAGUGUGGAAUUCCCGGUGUAGCGGUGAAAUGCGCAGAUAUCGGGAAGAACACCCGUGGCGAAGGCGGCACUCUGGGACGGUACUGACGCUGAGACGCGAAAGCGUGGGGAGCGAACAGG
rnacentral:rRNA from 1 species